rnacentral:ncRNA from 1 species
UUAACAGCGUUGAAAGGGAUUAGGAAUCUGAUACAGGGCUACAGAGAGCCGGGUAAGGUGGAAGCCGGCGCCAAUGGCAGGUUACCUUUAUCACCCUGGAGCUGCCUUUCUGAAAACCAUUGGGUAAGUAAGGGAGGCCGGGUUUUGGAACCCGUUACCUAAACCGCACAAUACAGGAAGUUGUAUUUGGUGCAGAAAAGUGGCUCCUUUGGAGCAAACAGGGUGGUACCGCGGAAGCUAACCUCUCGCCCCUGGC